AGCCUCUCAGGGUCACAUCUGGAGAGUUUCCAGUAUUCUACCAGUCUUGGCUAUGGUAGGGAGAGUCAAGCAGAGACAUUCCAUUCCAUUCUUAGAUUAGCCAGUGGCUAGCGAGUGGGAGGCAAUCUGCUACAAGU